GGGACUCCAGGCGGCCAUAGCUCAUCGGGCCAUGGUUCCGCCUGGUCCCAACUUUCAAGAAUAAUCUAGUUUUUUUUUUUUUUUCAGUUUUCUUCAACUCCCACCAUUCUCCCCAGCUUCAGACCCUACGCUGCGCAGGUCGUGGCAACGAACCACUGCAUGUGUGUAUAGCACAGAUUGAUGGAAUCCUCAUUGGAAUAAUUCUGCAUGUUCCCCAGCGUCAUACAAACCCUUUAUUUCAGAAUGUGAAACUUGAGUAAGCAAUCUUUUCUUAUGGGCUGCUUGUGAUCAUUCUGAAAAUACAGUAUGGCUUGAUUUGAGUUGGAAAUAAGUGACAAGCAGGUGAGUUUAGGAACCUGGCUGAGGGGAAUCAUUGAUUUCAGGUGCGCUUUGUGAGUGGCACCAAAACCUUCCUGUGAUGCCCACGCCCUGGACACCAAGUCAGAGCUCAGCAGUGGCAGGAAGUGGUCAGACUGACUUCAUCUAUAAGCUGUGGAUGAGGUGACUCCAUGACAGAGGGCAGCUGGGGAUCCACGCGUGCCCAGGGGCUGGUGGUGCCCACACAGCAGGCCCUGGGGGCUAAGAGGUGCCAGAAUGUGUGGGACCAGCCUGGAACCGUACAGGAGUGUUGACUGGGUGAGAAAUGGCGUGGUUAAGAAGGCAUAACAUCCAGAAAGACGUUCACCAUUCAUCGGAAGUGGCCAGAGACUUCAAAGACAUCGAGGAAUCUGCAUUUCAAAAAGCCAGCAGGGGCAAGGGCACAUUGCACCCCCCCUGCUGCCCAACCUGCUUCUAAACUGGCUCCUCACUGCCUGUGAGGUUCCUCCUUCUGAUCAGGAACCCAUAGGACAGGAAAGGAGCCCGCCCCAGGAGACCUGCCCGGAAGUGGAUUGUUCCUCAAACCAAGGCAGCUCAGGAACACUGGUCUCUGCCUCUGUGUGCCAGGUAUUGGCUCAAGCACUAGGUGGGCAUUAUGUCUUUGCGUGCUCAAAAAAGAUGGGUGGUGAGGUUAAGGAAGAGCUGGAAGAAAAGGAAGAUAGGUAGAGAGGAGACAUGGAAAUCAUAAGUGGAAAUUUACUUUUGAGAAGACUGCAACUUCUGUAACCCAGCUGCCCAAGGGGGCCCGCAUCAGCUUCCCCUGGUUAGAUUCAGGUUCCUCUCCUUCCAGACUGUCACACCCAAAUUCUUCAGGAAUCCAUAAAUCAGUCUAAGUAAGAGAGUAAUGAACAGGGCUCUGAUCUUAAGAUAAAGGAACAGGUUGAGAGAAUCCAAAGAACGUUGAAAUUACCUGUUUAAAACAAAAACAAUUGGGCCUAUCCCUGUGAAAUGGGCUGGGACCCUUCUAGUGUGGGCCACCUUUUCCACUCCCUCAAGAGAAGCAUAAAUGAUUCCACUUCCAGGAAACAAGUGCCCUGUCUGUAUUCUGUUCCUUUUGACUCUGCCUAAUAAAACCCUCCCUGUGCUGCUCACUGAAAAUUCUUUCUUGGAUGGGAGUCAGUGAACCUGAAAACAUUCUACAUGUAGGGUGGGUUAGGCUCCUCACCUGAUCUUUGGGGCCUUGCUCCGACCCCCAUCGGGUGGUAGCCACACUGGCAGGAGCCAGCCUGAUUGUGCUGGCACAACAUAGCCACUGCUGUGUUGCCUGGAAGCCACGUAGGGUGGGUACGGAAGUUGGUUUCCAGGAUAAGCAAGAGAGAGAAGCCUGUUCUGAUAAUGCACUGCCCUUCAGCUCCCAGCAGCAGUCACCGGUGGUAAUGGAAUUGGCCACAGGAGGAGUGUCACAGAAGGGGCGUGGUGGCCACAGUUGGUGGACAGCCACGGCCAUUGUCUUGUCAGGUUCCAGGUGGGAGGACAGAGACAAAGGGUUGGAGCAGCCAUCACCUCAGACCUGUGCCCUAGAUCCUGCUCUAGCCUCCUCCACUACAGGAUGCACGGUUCUGCUUCUGAACAAAAAAACCAACUCCAUGUUGAUCCAGAAGCCAUGUUCCUCUGUCAUCUGCAGUCGUUUGACCCAGAAUCUGUUGUGAGUUCUACACCAGUGUAAUGUAAGCUCGGUGUCAUUUCCACGUGACAGACCUUCAGCUAGGGCUCCACCACCCUUCGUGUGGAGGCAGGAUAGAAAAGAUAAAAGCUAGAAAGGAGACAAAGCCAUAACAUUAGCAUCUCCACUUUGGGGACCUCCUGGGACCCUCUGUGGUGACAGCGAGCCGUGGAUCUGAACUAUUCGCCAUCCCAGCCUCUGUCCUUCAGGGGCAUCUGAGUCCGGGUGCAGCUGAGAGAAAGCAUUGUAUUAGGUGAAGUAAACAGAAUGGAGUAGGAUACGUCUGAGGUCUUCAAGGUGUCCUGAAGACAGUGGUGUGCAGUGUUCUCCUGUGAGCUCGGAUCAUGGAUGCUCAAGAGGGUUUUGAGUGCUCUGUGGCAGCCACCCGUGUGCACGGUUCAUUUCCUUUAUGGGACAGAUGCCUACAUUAAUAUUUUGAGUUGUACUGGGUCAGCGAAGCCUCUGUAUCUCUUCCCAGUAACUGCUAAGCCACAGACUGAAGGGCAGCUGUGAGAGGGAGAGGCCCGGAACCUGACGAAUGUGGGUUCCCAGGGCCUCCUCACCCACUUAGCCAUACGUGUUCACAGUACCUGUUCUCUCUUCAGCUUGCAUCCCUUAGCAUCCCACAGGCACUUAUGGCUCCCCAGCUCCCAGCCAUGCCUUCCAGCUGUGGGUGGGCUGGAUGUGCAAAGAAAUGAGAAACCACUUUCGCUCUUCAAGAGACCCACGAUCUAGCUGCAGAAGGAAGAAAAUGAUGAGAGAAGGUGAGCUCUAGAAACGCCACAUCUCUGGAAACACAAAACCAAGUCAUGAACCCUGAAUGCUACCUAGUUUUGACUGAAGGCAUCACACGGUCACCUCUCCAGACCUCCGUUUUCUUAUUUAAAUAAUGGGAUACUUUUGCACAUUUCAUAUUUUUUCCAGUUGUAAAGGUCUAAGCUCCUGCGUGUAAGUUGAGAGCAAGCUCCUCGGAUAAGUAAAAUUUUCAUGAGGCUUGGAGGGUAAGCUCUUAAUAUCACUGAAUUUAUUGAGCAGGCUGAAUAGUUCAGAUUGAGGAUAUACCAAGAUCUCUCAGCUUUAGCUGGGGGCACAGAUGGAAGCCCAGCACAGUCCCAACAUAGGUGUGGGAUCCCUGUUCCGGCUGUCCUGGGGGGGCAUCCUGAUGUCCACAGACAGGUGGAUGCAGUUGUGACACUCAGAUAUCCAGAUGACUCACACAGCCUGGCAUAGGCCGGGAUUAGCAGCCAGAUGCAAAAUACAGAAGGAAGCUGGGCAGAAGGCAACUGUACUUUUCCCCAAGGUUCCUCUCUCUUCCGCUUCAGACCCCCAAAUCCAACUUCACUCUUUCUCUUACCGCUGUUUGGUGCUCCACAGUGAAUUCUGACUGGUGAUCCAGACAUAUCCCGCUUGGCAAGCCAGGAAAUGUUGAUCGCUCCAUCCAAAGCUCCGAAAAGAAAUGAUCACGAUGAAGAGUGAAGCCCGGCGUUGAGUUGAGGCGCUCCCCUCCUGUGGCCGCUUUCUAACAGGGCAGGUUAGUAGUGGCAGAGUCGCUGUCCUCUUUGCGAAAGGAGGCUAGGAGCUGGAGGAAAGGCCAAGCAACUCCCCAAUUAACUUUUCACUUCCUGGAACUUGAUCCUGCACAUGCUGGGCGAGCUCUUUACCACUGAGCUGAGUCCCUGGACCUUUGUAUUUUGAGGCUGACUCUGGCUAAGUUGGGCAGGCUGGCCUCGCACUGGCUAUUCUCCUGCCUCAGCCUCCCAAGCAGCUGGGGUUAGAGGAGGCUUGCAGAGCAAGUGUGGCGAGAAUGGAAUGUUUUGUGUUGCAGCAAGCAAUGUUCAGUUUGCAGCUACAGAAGAGCUGCACGUGCAAUACCCAAGUCUGUAACAAGUGGCAUAUAGAACUCAUGAGUUCACAGCCAGAGCUUCCUCCCAUGUUGGACAGGGAGACUGGUGAAUUCAUGUUUGUGUUCUCCUCAGAGCCACUUCUUCCCUUGUUUCACCUCUGAGCCUACCUUAGGUCUGUAAAGAAUGAAAAUCUUCUCCCUGUGAGCUCAGCCUGUUUGCCGUAACCCAUGUGGCAGAAGCCAUCAAGCUCCAGAAGACAGUCAGUCUGGCCACACCCCAGGGUAGGAAACACAGGAGGCCCGAUGGACUGAGGGAAAUCUUCAAGAAUGUGAAGCUUCUCUGCAAACACAGCACCUGUGGUCCAAACAGAACGUCUGACUGUGGAGACGCAGUUGGGAUGGGAGCCCCUGUUCCUGUGGAGCCCUGCAGAUGUCCUGGGACGUCCUCCUGUCUGCAGCGCGUGACUACAUGCAACUAGAAAAGCAAUUUUUUGUCAUUAUGUAGAGUGACUGAUCAGUGGGGAGAAAACAGACCUCAGGAGCUAUAUCAUUCUGCUCUGGAGAGAGGGUGGUUCCUGAGUGUCUGGGAGCUGCCACUGGAAGUCUCCGAGCUUUGCAUUUUCCUCUCUAAGAUAUAUCAACCUCUGUCGGGGUUGGCAUGAGUCUCCAAUAACAGAAUGUCUGAAACGUUUUCCGGCAAACUUUGUAUGUUUGUAGAAAGCAUUUCUAGCAUUCAUACACACCUAGUAAAUAAGUGAAUUAUAAUGGAAUCAAGUUGUGUUGGGAAAUUAGGAUCCAAUAUCGGUCUUUCUAUCAUGAGCAAUAACUUUAAUGUGGUUGUUCACACAGCUUUAUAGAUCCAGCUCAGACUUUCACUUAUGUAUGUGACAAUUGUUGAUGUUCAAUAUACUGCUGAAAGCACAGGGACCACUACAGCAGAACAGAACCUGUGUAUCUGUGUUCCUCAAGGAGCUACAAUGCUAUAACCUCAAGUGCCGUGGGAUGGUGGGGUCAACUCCAGUUCUGUGGAUAUUUUGGCCAAGAUGGGUGCUGACAGAUUACUUCCACUUGCUAAAAGCAGAAAGAGAAAAAAAGCCCAGGACUGCUUUACAAAGAAGGAGGCUUUCCAGGGCUAGGAAAAGGAGCUGGUGGAGAGGCAGGAAGCAGGAAGGGUGGGCAGAAAAAGGUAUCCUAGGCCCAAUGAGCUCAGAGGGAAGACACCAAGGUGGACACAUUUGAGACUGUGCUUUCUCCACUGUGGCUGGGAGCCCCUGAGCUGGGGAGCAGUUUACAGUGGUGUGUUCCUACUUGGGUACCUGUGGGGAGCUCACAGAUUUUCAUUUUUAUAAUGAUUAAUAUAUAUACCCAAAUAGAAACAAUAGAAUAUUCUUAUUUCUAUAAUUCCACACCCUGUUAAGGACACUGAGUUCUUAAGUUCAAGUUUCUAUUGUCUCUAUAGAUAUCCAGAUAGUCUUCCUCCAGAAAUAGUUACUUAUGCAUCUCUAAUGCUAUUCAGUUCAUCCUGGCUUUCAAUUUUUGCUCUUUGGUUAAUUCUUUUUGGAUUUACACUUUUUUUCAUUCUUGUCUAAUCUCUGGAGUUUGCCAUUUUGGAAAGGAUUAUAUCUUUCUUUAUAUAUUGCCACCAAUUUCUGUUCUGUGGGACAAGUAGAGGAGAGGAAGAGAGGGCUCUGUUCCCUUUGUUUGGCAUCAACAUUUCCCCAGCCCUGCCAGAGAUUCAAGACUGCCUGCUGCUGCCCUUAUACAAGUCUUUUCUUUGAGGAAGGAAGAUGAUAAGAAUGCAGCAUACAGAGCUCCUGGUUCUCCAAAGAAGUUUGAGAACCAGGCUAAAUCCAGCCAGGGGCCUGACUUUCUGGUCCAGUUGUGCUGGUGCAGAGGUACCCACUCAUUUCCAUGUGGUCUGGGGAUGCUGUUGCCUUGUACUUUACCUGCAGGACUUGAGUAGCUGUGACAAAGAUCCAGGAGUCUUAAAAUGCUACUAGUUGACCUUUACAGAAAAAAUCUGUUUCUGUUCAAGACCAGAGGACUGAAGGACUAUUUCCCCAAUGGGUGUGUGGAGCUGACCUUGGGAACCAAUGGCAUGUGGGUGUUUCUGAGCAGUCAGCCUCCCCGUUAACAUAGCCCAGUUCUGUGUAGUCACCGAAUGAGGCCUUAAAAGCUCAGUAACCACCUUAGAGUCCAUUACUAACUCUUGUCAUCCUGAGGGCACACACAGAUCUUUGUAGGGUAAAAAAAAAAAGCAAUGUCCAAACACACAUGAUUACUUGAUGAGUAAAAAUAAUAGAAUAUCUGCAUAAAAUUAGAAAUCCAUACUUUCAAUUGUUUCACACUCUUCCUGUGAAGGAGGAUCUCCUUUAUUUAUAUCAGUUCAAGUUGCGUACAACUCAUUUAUCUUUUUUUUUUUUAAGGGAUUAACUCACACUGAGAAGGAAGCCUCCUGCCCUCUAUCCACCACUCUCCUCUUUUUAUUCCUCCUUUCGUGGCAAAAAUAUGCACAGUUCUUAUAGGGAGCAGAAUCUCUAGAUGGUUUUCCAUUGGCCUUCAGGAUGGGUGGGCAUCCUCAGGAUUAGGCCCAAGUUUAAGUGUCAUCAAAAUAUCAUGUAACUAGAAUAGUAAGUCCUGAAUAAACAUUGUUUGCUGUCAGUAGCAAAAAUAUCUUAAGAGCAAGAGUAUUGUCAAAAGUCUACCUGAGAUUUUGUGCAGCCAGUAGCUUCCUGUAAAGCUUGGAAGUGGUGGAACUGGUUGGUAACAUCACUCCUGCUGACAACAGGCCUUUUCCAAGGGACCCCCGGUGGGGUCCUGACUUUGAUCACUGUGCUGAUUUUCUUACAGUGACAUCACUAGUUUUUACUCUGAAAAACGCGACUGGCUACUGGAUUGAAAAACUGAAAACUCACAUUGUAUGCAUAUCAUUUUACACUUGAUCUUAGCCAAAAGGGGGAGAAGUGAUAUAUAUGCAUAUCAUUUUAACUUUGAUACUUCUGUAGCUGGAUUGGUUACAUGUCCCUAAAACAGCUAAGAAAUUGGGCUUUAUUCUUUAUGCUAAAGUUAUUAUUAAAGGAUUACACCCUGGUAACCAAGUUGUGAAAUAUCUCAGAUCAUAUUGGGAAUUAAUUUUGUUUUUUUGGCCAUGUCAAAUGCCAAGUAAAUUGUUUACUUCUCACUUGAAUUUUUAUUUUAAAAAUCCAAAUUUCACAAUCAGUCAUUCAGAUUUCCCAGAGGUAUUUGCUUAAGCUGGACUCCAUUUAAAAAUACUUGAUAUAUUUCUAAAUUGAAAGAACUAAGUUAUACUAAACCAGGAUAGAUUUAGAUUGUACUGUUUAAAAACAUAUGCUACAUCUAUUUGUGUGAAAUCC